UACGUAGGGGGCAAGCGUUGUCCGGAAUCAUUGGGCGUAAAGCGCGUGUAGGCGGUUCAGUAAGUCUGCUGUGAAAAGUCCAGGGCUCAACCCCUGGGAAUGCCGGUGGAAUACUGCUGAACUAGAGUGCGGAAGAGGCGAGUGGAAUUCCCGGUGUAAGCGGUGAAAUGCGCAGAUAUCGGGAGGAACACCAAUUGCGAAGGCAGCUCGCUGGGGACGUUACUGACGCUGAGACGCGAAAAGCGUGGGGGAGCAAACAGG
rnacentral:rRNA from 1 species